CGUUGUACUGAAGUGCUGUGUGUACUCAUCGGGUGCGUUGCUGGUGGCGGUCCGGCUCUCUUUCCCAGGCUGAAGCGGUGUAGUUGGAGAGAUAUUGUGAACCUUAAAGGUUGAAAAACGAACGGAUGAAAUCGUAAACAAAGCCACAACAUAAGGAGAAGAACGGAGUAAAUUGGAUACCUCCAAGAGAAGGAGGGCGGCCCUACCCCUGAGAUAGCGUGGUGGGCGAGCCGAGGAAAUAUUCGACGGAAGCUAAGCGCAGCGACAAGACCAUCAGCUAGACCAAAUUUUCCAUCACCAAUCGGACCUGGGCAAAGUGGAAAGAGACGGGCGUCCUUUGUGUACACUUGAGCAUGGUGGGUGAGUCUUUGUGCUGUGGAAACUUUCACUUUUGACGUGGUGCUGUGUACUGCUGUGUAUUGCUGUGUGCCUUGUCAGACAAACCCCCGCCUUCGUACACUUUGUCCAAGGAAGACGAAGAGGUUGCCGGUCUUAGCAGAGAACAUCUGAAUAUAUGCUGUGAAUACGCUUUAGGUCUACCUGUAUCCAGCGAAGAGGUGAGAGCCAUCCAAGUCGGAUUAACUGUGUCUUUGUGUCCCAGCCGCUGCC